GGUCCGAUGGUGUAGUUGGUUAUCACUUCUGUCUAACACUCGAUCAAAUCACGUGAUUUGUGAAAUAUUGUUCACAGGCGGUCCUCAGUUCGAACCUGGGUCGGAUCA